AGAGUUUGAUCCUGGCUCAGGAUGAACGCUGGCGGCGUGCCUAAUACAUGCAAGUCGAACGAAGAGUUUCUUGUGUUCGCAUGAGGAUCUCUUAGUGGCGAACGGGUGAGUAACGCGUUGGUGACCUGCCCCGAAGUGAGGGAUAACCCCGGGAAACUGGGGCUAAUACCCCAUGUGGUCAUGAGGACUAGAUGCCUCGUGUCUAAAGGAGUAAUCCGCUUCGGGAGGGGCCUGCGUCCCAUCAGCUAGUUGGUAGGGUAAUGGCCUACCAAGGCUUCGACGGGUAGGGGGCCUGAGAGGGUGACCCCCCACACUGGCACUGAAACACGGGCCAGACACCUACGGGUGGCAGCAGUAGGGAAUAUUGGGCAAUGGGCGAAAGCCUGACCCAGCAACGCCGCGUGCGCGAUGAAGGCCUUCGGGUUGUAAAGCGCUUUUCUGGGGGAAGAGCAAGGACGGUACCCCAGGAAUAAGGUUCGGCUAACUACGUGCCAGCAGCCGCGGUAACACGUAGGAACCGAGCGUUAUCCGAAUUUACUGGGCGUAAAGCGCGUGUAGGUGGUUCGAUAAGUUGGGUGUGAAAGCUCCUGGCUCAACUAGGAGAGGCCGCUCAAGACUGUCGGACUUGAGAACGGUAGAGGGAGGUGGAAUUCCCGGUGUAGUGGUGAAAUGCGUAGAUAUCGGGAGGAACACCAGUGGCGAAGGCGGCCUCCUGGACCGUUUCUGACACUGAGACGCGAAAGCUAGGGGAGCGAACGGGAUUAGAUAC
rnacentral:rRNA from 1 species